AUGGGCAUUGGCUGGCGGCCCGUGCCCAGGCUCCCGCCUCUUGGGCCCUUGGGAGGUGCCGGGCGAGAAAUGGUGGCACUCGCGCCAGCCCAUUGGCUGACCUCCGGUGUUGCUUGUAGGCCGGGGCCAGUCCGGGAGGAUUCUAGAAUCCCGCCUGCCGGCCCAUCUUCUUCCUCAGCUGCCCCCUCCCUGUGCCCCCCCUCCACUGCACCCUCCCUCCGGCUCCCGAGGAAAGCACAAGCCAGAAGCGGAGGCAACCCGCGACCGAGGGCGCUUCCAAGCCCAGCACAACCGGUCCUGGGUUCUGGCCCCCAGGGUUUGUCCAGGCCAGCUGGCCUGCUGGGGGACGUCCUCCUUGUCCACACUGGUCACGGCACGCACUGGAGAGGAUGCGGGCGGGGGUGGCACCAGGCAGGCCCCCCGGAAACUCACAAAAAGGCACGAGGGGUGUUGAGGGGUGCUCGAGGCGCCUUCAUUAGGGCGUCUCGGGAACCCGAGCGGAGACCGACGGGCCCCCCCUCGUGUCUUCCAAAAGCUGCCCCGAGAGCUUCUGCUGGGACCCGAACUCAUCCCCGAGAGCCCGGAUCAGCGGCCAGGAUCAGGAAGGGGGUUCCCCCUCGGACAGAGAAUGGGGCCGUGGCCAGGGGCUCCCCCCAGAGGGUUCUCCGGGAGGCCGCAAGCCCCGGCUGCGCGGCCACCAUUCGCUUCUCCCAGGCCAAGCCCCCGAGCUCCAACCCGGCUUCCCUCCCCUUCAGGCCAGUCGGGCCGGCGCCCCCAAAGGGUCAGGCAUGCAGGGGGAACGUGGGUGCCCCACGAAGACCCCAGCGAGCUCUGAGCCCCUCCCCCACAGCCCAAACGAGGUCGGGAAGACCCUGGUCCCUGGAGCUUCCUGGUCUGCAAGGCGUCCAGCAGUCCCCGGGGCCGGCCGCGUGUCGGGGGAGAAGGGAAGCCGGAGCCCGAGAGCCCCCCCACCAUCCAGGCCUUUCCAGAGGGGACGGGCACCCCGGAAAGCCUGCCUGCCCCAACGGGUGGGGUGAGGGGCGGCUCGGACCCUCUCCCGCCUCACCUCUGCUCGCUCCUCCCCAGGCCGGGCGGAGGCGCAGCCCGACAGACACAAGCAGACCGAGGCAGCCUCAUCUGUUCCACACCUUUAAUUUAAUCGUCAUUCGCACAUGGGGAGACCCCGGCCCGAGGCAGACGGUCACAUGA
rnacentral:lncRNA from 1 species